AUGUUGUGGCUUACUUGUGGUCUUGGUAUUGAUACGAAUUCAGUCUGCUAGCUGAUGUUGCUUGGGACAGGUCUUGACUUGACGCAGAUUGGUGCCUAACACGUGCAAGGUUGUCUCAAUGGUCAUGUUUUGCACUCAGGUUUGGUUCUAGUUGCUACAACCUCCAUGAGCCUCUCUCAUCAUUAUGAGUUCAAAACCAAAUGCAUGUGUAUUAGUAUGUCCAAAUGGUCAUGUAGGUGUGAUGUUGCAGCUGGUAGGUAUUGGUCAUGCAGUCUCCUGUUGCAACAGAUGUUCAGUGCUGCAGAAUUAUGGUGUUUGAUGCAGGAUUGGCUCGCAUCUGUUGGUUAUGCCAUGGUGAACACAUGUUACUGCUGUUUGUUAAUGGACUGAAUGCUACUCCAAGGUACAUGGCUGCAGCUGGUCAUGGUAUGCUGCAGGAUUGCUGAACGGUCUGCUGCAGUAACAAGGCAAGAAGUGUUACAUUUGGAUUAAGCAUCAGAUGAUGGAUUCAAUGGUGUCACAUUGUAUUGUGUUAGGGUCAUUAGGACUUGGUUUGGGGCAGACCAAAACCAAGGUUUGAAAAGCCAAAAUGCCAAGCAAGGCAAGGUACAUAUGAGAUUGAAAAUAAAGCCACUUGCUUGGAAAUGAAGCAACCAAAAGAAAACACAACCAACAUGGCAAUUGGAUGAAGAAUCAAGGAAAAAGGGCUAGAUUAGGUUUUGGAUGGUCAGAAGACGGGUGAAUUGACUUUGGUCAAAGUUGACCAAAAAAGUCAACUGUUGACCAAAUUCAACAACUGGUCAAAGUUCAUUUUUUUUGUAUUUUUUCUUGUAAAUGGAUAUUCAAUGGAAAAUUA